UUCUCCCCAUGUUGCAACUGGCCACUGAACAUGGGCUCUGGAGGAAAGUGGACAUGGCGGUCAGGUACAGAAUUACCUGGCAGGACUGGCAGCAGUGGACAGCAGACCCCUGGAACCUAGCAGGAAAGAGCUGCAGAUGCCACUGGUAACUCGCUGGACUUGCCUAUAAACUCGACAGUGUCUAGAAGCAACUCGCUCUGCUUUCGUCUGGAAAUGGUCAUGCACCAAUUGAAGGGCCAGACCAGCUGCAACUUUCUUGCUAUCCAGCUGCGAUGAAAGGGGGAUAGGCCAGAAGAUGGUUGUGAAAUGUAUGCAGAGCCUCUGAAUUAAGCCAACUCUAAAGACUGAGGAUCUUCCAGAAAUAUUGGAACAAUGUUAAAAUGGAAAUUAAGGUAAAAAACAUCUAGUCCCAUUACUCUAAACAAAUCAACAUUUUUUAACUUUCUGUGACUCAUUCUGGUUUCUUUUAACAUACACACCUAUGAUUUUUGCAUAGUUAGAGCCCUAACAGAGCCAAGAGUAGUCAUCUAAUUAGACAGUAAAGCCAUUGUUUAUGAGUACUUAAUAUUUGCCAGGCAAAAUGGUUCACAUGUAUUUUUGAAUCCUCACGCCAAUCCUGGCAGAUGGAUGUAUGAUUAUGCCCAUUUUAUAGAUGAGGAAACUAAGUAUGAAGGAGGUUGACUCACUCCAAGUCACACACCCUGUGAGCUUGUAUUUGAGCCUUUCCUCUCCACUGUAUUGGACAGGGCUGGCCAGGCUGGGAAGCUGCAUCGACAUGACUGAUGGCUCACACCCAACCCUCUCUUACCACCCCAGCGGCCCCUGGGUAAACUUCCACGCUGCCCAGGGUGAAGAGUGGAGCUUGCUGGCCCUACUAAGUGCAGGACAGGCUGAGGGAAAACUGGACCAUCCUUGGAGGUCAGAUCAUCACCUGGAAGGGUUUAUGGCAUUUGUUCCAAAUGUCUGUAAGACCAGCGAGCCGGGGAGCUCCAACCCAUAGGCAGCGCAGAGCGAGCAUGGCGCCGUGAGCCCAACCUUGCCCUGGUUGUCCAAAUGCAAACAGUCUUUGCGCUGUGUCCUGGCGUUCAGGCUGCAUGGCCAAGUGUUGGGCCAUGAAGGCACGUGGAGGCCAAGGGAGGGUCUCGGGGCCCGUCCGAGUUCAAGCAGCCUGGCAGACACGAGCCCAUGGCUGGUGGCCUUGCCUGGUGGCUCUUCGUGAUGUCAGUGUUUGGCCCAUAUUAGAUCCUCAGCCAAUGUUGUUGGUUGAUGGAUGGAUGGACAGACGGUGUUGCUUACAGCAAGCAGCUGGACUCCCUCCUGCUUGAUAAAGACUAAAAUAAGACAUUCGCAGUCUUUCAUUUUAAGUCAAAGAUGGAAAGCUGAGAGUGGAUAUAUGUA